GACCAGGCUAACUGUAGGGAAAUAACCGUGAAUUGAAGAGACCAUGUUGCCUCAGCUGAGGCUCAGAUGCUGCGUGCUGUUGGAAAUCAAGAAGAGCAUCUCCAUAGAGCUGCCAUGGGCAGGGAGGGGUUCUGGAAACAGCCAUGUGGCUUGUGGGAUUUUGCACUCAACAGUGAAAGGACAGAGCCCACUGGACCACCAAGGAAUUCUCUAUUCUGGAUACACGUGCUUUAUCA
rnacentral:lncRNA from 1 species